GAUAAAGUGCGCCAGCGUGGCGCUUUGCAGGUACCGUGCGAUAAGGACCGGCUAAUUCCGUGCCAGCAGCCGCGGUAAUACGGAAGGUCCGGGCGUUAUCCGGAAUCAUUGGGUUUAAAGGGAGCGUAGGCCGCAUGUCAAGCGUGCUGUGAAAUCCCGGGGCUCAACCCCGGAAGCGCAGCGCGAACUGGCGUGCUUGAGUUGCAUGAGGCAGGCGGAAUUCGUGGUGUAGCGGUGAAAUGCUUAGAUAUCACGAAGAACCCCGUUGCGAAGGCAGCCUAGUCCAGUGCACACUGACGCUGAUGCUCGAAGGCGCGGGUAUCGAACAGGUUUAGAUACCCUGGUAGUCCGCGCGGUAAACGAUGGAUGCCCCGCCUUGGGCCGUUUAGGUC
rnacentral:rRNA from 1 species